rnacentral:misc_RNA from 1 species
AGAGGGAGAGAGGGAGAGAGAGAGGGAGAAGAAUUCUCUUCACCGCUUUGAAAUCUAGCAAAUGAAUACCGAGUCAUUGAAUUCAUAUGGUUUCAGAUCAUAGUUCAAGAUGCUGUGUUACAGUCAGUACCACAAUAGUAGAAGCUUAUUUGAAUAAAACUUGUAAAUUAUUUAACAAAAUUAUCUCCCAAGACAUUAAAAUUUGAAAAACAAAAUAGAGAGAUAGAGGGGAUUAUUUCCCCAGACUGUGUAGCCAGAGACAAGUUGUUUUCUGCUGAUGAUGGUAGGAUAGAACUUUAACAAAAGUCAUCAGAUUCCAUCCCACCAUGGAAACUGAGCACAACAAGAAAAAAGGUAACUUAGAACCUUAGCGUUACAUCAUACCUCUUUGAUUAUCCCACACUUGG